rnacentral:lncRNA from 1 species
CAACUCAAAAGUACAACAGCUAGACCCAAAAAUAGCCGCCCUAUCAAGCAUAUGAACAACCAUAUUCGUUUGUCGCUUUAUAAACUUUAUCACAAAGUUUGGAUUUGACAUCAAAACACGCUUAAUAUUACAAAAUUUUGAUUUAAUGAUAAUUCUAAUUUCAAUAACUGGCCGGGGUUUUCACACUAUAAAGUGAUCAUACAAUUAUCAAAUUUUACAAGCAAACAAAGCAAAUUAUGGCUAAAAUUCUCAAGUUUUUUCAAAUUAUGUUUACUUUUCUUUUUAUAUUUACCAUUGUAAUCGAAUGCCUCCCUGGUAAGAUAUUUUCUUUAUCUUCAAUUUUUCAUUAUAUGUUUCAUUCCCUAUUAUUAACAUUAGUUUUUUCUUAUUUGACAUCACAGAAUAUAAUCACUUUCAUAAGUGUUAUAAUGACAAUUCUUGCCCUAAAACUAUGUGUAUACCUCCUAGAGUUCCAAAGUGCAUAAGGAAGUCUUGUCGAUGUAUUUAGAAUUGAAUCCCAUCCUCGACAAUUAUAAAAAUGACUAUUAGUGCUACCAUUGUUGAUAAUAAUUUUGCCUUCUCCACUUUUUGAUCAAGUUCAAAAAUAUAUUUGUGGUACUUCUAAAAGUAUAAUUUUAUAUGUAAUUGUAAUGUUGGUACUUUUAUGCUUUAUUUCA